rnacentral:rRNA from 1 species
UACGAAGGGGGCUAGCGUUGCUCGGAAUCACUGGGCGUAAAGGGCGCGUAGGCGGCUGAUUUAGUCGAGGGUGAAAGCCCGUGGCUCAACCACGGAAUGGCCUUCGAUACUGGUUCGCUUGAGACCGGAAGAGGACAGCGGAACUGCGAGUGUAGAGGUGAAAUUCGUAGAUAUUCGCAAGAACACCAGUGGCGAAGGCGGCUGUCUGUUCCGGUUCUGACGCUGAGGCGCGAAAGCGUGGGGAGCAAACAGG